rnacentral:lncRNA from 1 species
GGUACCAUUACUAGAUGGUCACUUCGAUUGGUACAGAAAUUUAUUCUUAUACUAUUAGCUUAGGUUCGAACCUAUAAGGUCUUAGAGUUCACGAUCUAAUCGGAUGGUUGAUCAAUGAUUAAGAAUCAUUCUAGAGUUAAACGAUCAAUAUGAUUGACAUUUAACCUAGUGCAAGUGUUGCUGGAGGAUCGAUUAGCAAUUUGAUUGCUAAUUGGCUUAA